rnacentral:rRNA from 1 species
AUACAGAGGGUGCGAGCGUUAAUCGGAAUUACUGGGCGUAAAGCGCGCGUAGGCGGCUUGGUCAGUCGGAUGUGAAAGCCCUGGGCUCAACCUGGGAAUUGCAUUCGAUACUGCCAAGCUAGAGUAUGUGAGAGGGAAGUGGAAUUUCCGGUGUAGCGGUGAAAUGCGUAGAUAUCGGAAAGAACACCAGUGGCGAAGGCGACUUCCUGGCCCAAUACUGACGCUGAGGUGCGAAAGCGUGGGGAGCGAACAGAAUUAGAAACCCUAGUAGUCC